rnacentral:lncRNA from 13 species
AUGGAGAUGGUGAUUGCGUAUGGAUCCUUGGGUUACGGAUACUCCCACCAGUUGAAGCACCCAAAUAGAAACAUGGAGAGCCUAGUGGAGCGCUCGCUCUUCCUCCGCUGUCCACCACCAGACGACCGCAAAGACCAUCACUAUAAUGUGGUCACUCCUAAGCCAGUACCUUAUUCAGACUUUAUCGCAGCGCUGAUGUACAGAGAGACCACCAACCCAGACAACAGGACGACUUACCCCUCAAACAGCACAAUAUCCCCCAUCAUCCUGGAAUGUAUGGAGAAGAGGGGCAGGCUACUGCAGAUGCAUGAGGAGAUGGAGGCGUUUGAGUCGUCCGAGGACUCCCUGCAGUACCUGGAGAAACUGGUGAUGAAGAAAGGGAUUAGAACCGGUACCCCCUGGAGGAUGAACAAGAGGUUCAAGGUCUGUCUGUCUGUAACUCAACUCUCUCUCUCUCUCUUUCUAUCAACUCAGUUCAUUCAGGAAGUCCUAUACAGAUUUCUCUAUUAAUUUCCUGAAUUGGCCACAAUCGUAGUGUGUGUUCUCUGUAAAUGCUUUAUUUACACUAACCCUGUGUGUAUAUUCAAUUCUAUGUCAAUGACCCUCUUGGUUGGGCUGUAGGGCAGUGUUGUGUCCUGUAAAGCAGUAUAUCUGAGAGGGUUUUGUCUGGUGUGUGUUUGCAGGUUCUCUCUAAGUGGAGGAAAAAGGCAACGAUGGUCUCCAAGCUGCUCAAUUUUGGAGGCUGUUCAGAGGCGGCGAAACAACAGAGAGACAACAUGUUGCCCACGAGGCCAUUGGGUUGGGCAACCUUUCACUCAUGGACACACACUCAUGGACACACACACACACACUCACGGACACAAACACACACAUACAUGGCUAAACUUGGCAAUGGCAAAAAGACAGAUAGGAUGUUGCAGAUGGAUUUCUCUGGUUAAUAUUAAUAUCCAUGGCAGUGCUGAUUUUGAUGUCACUGUUUUUAUGUUGCAGGUGUGACUCCCCCUGUGCCACUUUUAAAGCGCCUUGCCAUGCAACAGGUACUGCUGAUCUGUGUUUAUACACACACACACACACACACACACACACACACACACACACACAGAGAGAGUAUCUUUCAUGUGUAAUUUCUUCUGCUGUUUCCUUAUAGGAGAAAAUACCCUUAGUCA